AACUUUCAGCAACGGAUCUCUUGGCUCUCGCAUCGAUGAAGAACGCAGCGAAAUGCGAUAAGUAAUGUGAAUUGCAGAAUUCAGUGAAUCAUCGAAUCUUUGAACGC
rnacentral:rRNA from 1 species